AACGAACGCUGGCGGCAUGCCUAACACAUGCAAGUCGAACGAGACCUUCGGGUCUAGUGGCGCACGGGUGCGUAACGCGUGGGAACCUGCCCUUAGGUUCGGAAUAACUCCCCGAAAGGGGUGCUAAUACCGGAUAAUGUCUUCGGACCAAAGAUUUAUCGCCUUUGGAUGGGCCCGCGUUGGAUUAGCUAGUUGGUAGGGUAAAAGCCUACCAAGGCGACGAUUCAUAGCUGGUCUGAGAGGAUGAUCAGCCACACUGGGACUGAGACACGGCCCAGACUCCUACGGGAAGCAGCAGUGGGGAAUAUUGGACAAUGGGCGAAAGCCUGAUCCAGCAAUGCCGCGUGAGUGAUGAAGGCCUUAGGGUUGUAAAGCUCUUUUACCCGGGAUGAUAAUGACAGUACCGGGAGAAUAAGCUCCGGCUAACUCCGUG
rnacentral:rRNA from 1 species